GAAGAAGAAGAAGAAGAAAGGCCUUAAGGGUAUUUGCAAGAAUGUGAUAAAGGUAAAGUAGAUUAGGUUUUUGCCUGACCCCCCAAAAAUAUGUUUUAAUAUGGUUUGGACAGUUUCAGAAUUGAAACUGAUCACAUUCUAUCUACCCUUUUAUAAUUUGUGUACAUACUGCCUCUGACAUUGCCUUUUGUUAAACUGCUUAAUGUGUCUUGUCCCCCCUCCCAUUUUUCCAACUGCACACAAUCAGUUUUCCAACUGUAUAAUUGUUACUCCAACUGUGAAUCCUGUGUCCGACUGCACACUAAAAAACCAAAAACCACCACCUGGAUAUGGAGCAGGUACAUUUUUAAUAUGGUAAUAAAAUUGGGGUGGUAGCAUUUACCUUGCUGGAAGUCUUUAAGCAGAGGCUGGUUAGCCAUCCCUGCACCAGAUUUGAAUUAGAUGACCUACAAGGCUCACUCCAACUCCAAGAGUUGGGGAAGGACUGUAGCAAACCGCUAGAACAUCUGUCUGGCAUGCAAAGUGCCCAGCUCCAGUCCCCAUCAUGCCCAGGUAAGUCUGGAAAACCCUGGAGAGAUACUACCAGUCAGGGUAGAUAACACACUGUGUGCCUGAGGCCAUAUUUUGCAUAAGACAGCUUCGUGUGUCUCAAUGGAAAAUAUAUGUAUGCAGAUAGAACUAUGAAAAUUAAGUUUGAAUAAAAUCUGGAAAUUAAAUUAGUGCUUAAUAUUUUUCUUUAAAUUGAAAAAAAAUAUACUUAUUCUUAGUUUUAGUUUGAAUUUUGGAUGGAAUUUUUCUGUGUAUGUAUGUAAAGCAAAACUCAAUAAAAGUUAUUUUUUAAAAAAAUACCCAGAAAUGGAAAUAAACCAGAAUCCUGAUCCAACAGAACUUUUUAAUUCUAGAUUCCUUUUGUUGUAUGUGUGCAUGUUUUUAGGAGACAAAUUCAGUUGCUGCUACUUAGCACCCUGUUCUGUGUUACUGCUGUUCUUGACCUUCACAACUGUACAUCAAACGGUUCACUUAUUUUCCCCUGGUCAAAUGUAUUUGAACUCUUCGUAUUUUGCAGACAAUAAAUGAAGGCCUACCAAUGUUGACACUGCUGAACCUUCUGACAAGAAGCCCUGAAUUAGAAAAGUGACUACAUAUGAGAUGCUCCGGUGAGAUGAGCAGGCAGAAUGCCAUUUAAGCCUAAUUGUAGGCACUGUUGCAAUAACCAAUAUAUUCAGCAUAGCUACUCCACAGCCCUAAAGAUGCAAUCAUAAUUUGAUGAAGG